rnacentral:rRNA from 1 species
UAGGGAAUCUUCGGCAAUGGACGAAAGUCUGACCGAGCAACGCCGCGUGAGUGAUGAAGGUUUUCGGAUCGUAAAACUCUGUUGUUAGAGAAGAACAAGGACGUUAGUAACUGAACGUCCCCUGACGGUAUCUAACCAGAAAGCCACGGCUAACUACGUGCCAGCAGACGCGGUAAUACGUAGGUGGCAAGGGUUGUCCGGAUUUAUUGGGCGUAAAGCGAGCGCAGGCGGUUUCUUAAGUCUGAUGUGAAAGCCCCCGGCUCAACCGGGGAGGGUCAUUGGAAACUGGGAGGCUUGAGUGCAGAAGAGGAGAGUGGAAUUCCAUGUGUAGCGGUGAAAUGCGUAGAUAUAUGGAGGAACACCAGUGGCGAAGGCGGCUCUCUGGUCUGUAACUGACGCUGAGGCUCGAAAGCGUGGGGAGCAAACAGG